CUACCGUGAAUACCGUUCCCGGGUCUUGUACACACCGCCCGUCCAAACCAUGAAAGUCGCCAAUACCUGACGUCCAGUUUUAGACUGGCCUAAGGUAGGGAGAUGAUUGGGGUU
rnacentral:rRNA from 1 species